rnacentral:rRNA from 1 species
UUUCCGGUUGAUCCUGCCAGAGGUUACUGCUAUCGGUGUUCGCCUAAGCCAUGCGAGUCAUAUGUUCUUCGUGAACAUGGCGUACUGCUCAGUAACACGUGGAUAACCUGCCUUUGGGUCCGGCAUAACCCCGGGAAACUGGGGAUAAUUCCGGAUAACGCACAUAUGCUGGAAUGCUUUAUGCGUCAAAUGGAUUCGUCUGCCCAAGGAUGGGUCUGCGGCCUAUCAGGUAGUAGUGGGUGUAAUGUACCUACUAGCCGACGACGGGUACGGGUUGUGAGAGCAAGAGCCCGGAGAUGGAUUCUGAGAUAUGAAUCCAGGCCCUACGGGGCGCAGCAGGCGCGAAAACUUUACAAUGCGGGAAACCGUGAUAAGGGGACACCGAGUGCCAGCAUCAUAUGCUGGCUGUCCGGGUGUGUAAAAUACACCUGUUAGCAAGGGCCGGGCAAGACCGGUGCCAGCCGCCGCGGUAACACCGGCGGCCCGAGUGGUGAUCGUGAUUAUUGGGUCUAAAGGGUCCGUAGCCGGUUUGGUCAGUCCUCCCGGAAAUCUGACGGCUUAACCGUUAGGCUUUCGGAGGAUACUGCCAGGCUUGGAACCGGGAGAGGUAAGAGGUACUACAGGGGUAGGAGUGAAAUCUUGUAAUCCCUGUGGGACCACCUGUGGCGAAGGCGUCUUACCAGAACGGGUUCGACGGUGAGGGACGAAAGCUGGGGGCACGAACCGGAAUAGAUACCCGGGUAGUCCCCAUCCCCACACGAUGCUCGCUAGGUGUAAGGCAUAGUCGCGACCGUGUCUGGGUGCCGUAUGGGAGCCCUGAAGCGAGCCACCUGGGAAGUACUGCCCCCACGCUGAAACUUAAAGGAAUUGGCGGUGGGAGCACAACAACACGUGGAGGCUGCGGUUCAUUUGGACUCAACGACCGACAACAUCACCCGGGGCGACAG